ensembl:lincRNA 4933406K04Rik RIKEN cDNA 4933406K04 gene
AACUGAUUUCCUCAGGGAGACCAACAUCUCAUUCAAACCACGGCAGCCUGCAAAAGCUAGGCUUCGUUCUUAUGUGUGUGUCCAGGAUCUUUCGUGGGCCCAAAGAGCUGGAGCGGGUCUUUACUGACUUACCGCUGGUAUUUGCCACAGAAGCAGAAGCGAAGGACCAAGACAUCUUACAGAAGAAAGGGUUUACAGUUCCAGAGUGAUGAGCAUUCAUGGUGACAGAGUUGAAGCAUAAAGCAUGACAGCAGGUGACAGGCAAGACUACACAAGGAGGAAACUGAGAGUUCACACUUGACAAAGCAGAGAAUGGGAAUUGGAGUGUAAACUGAAGACCAGAAGCUGACCUUUGGAGACAUCUAGUCCAGCAGAGCAGCUGCUGCAUUCUCAGUAUCUUCAACGUGAGACAACCAUGUCGGAAAACCCAACCCAUAUCACUUUCAGGUUCUGAUGUCGCCAUCUGGCCUAAGGCCCCUGCAUGCACUGGUGCUACUGCGUAUGAACUCACAUAAGCGCACGCAAACACAUAAAAACAAGAUAAAGUUUCACAUCGAAACAUUCGCACCACAGCAUGGACGCUUCUCUCUGCACUUGGACAUAUUUUCAGUGGAAUGAGAAUACAGACAAAAAGAGUCAGAUGCUCCUGUCAAUGCCUGCCUGUGGAUGCCAUCACCUCCGUCGGCCACGAGUUCACGGGAAGCAGAUCCCUGAUCAUCUCACACCUCACCACGGUCGUCUAGGCUAGAUGAAAGAGCUCUUCUGCCUUGAAAGAUCUCCCGAGUGUGUGUCAGCCACCCGUGAGUCCAAAGCCUUCACAGUACUUACCAACAGGUACUCGGCAAAGAUUCUGCCUGCAGCCCGAAACUGAGCAAGCUCUCUCUUAGUCUAUGCCUGUAUCACAACCUAAUCAUCCCAGCGACGACCACCUCCCACUCCCCUCGCAGAGUGCCCACUCGCUUAAAACGCACUGGCUGUAAUGUUUAUUACCCAAUGAGGACACCCGUGUUAUUGAUAGCAGCAAUAAGGAUGCCAUCAAACAUGAAUGCUCACAUUCAGCAAGG